AGUAGUCACGUAGUUGAUCCUGGCUCAAGAACGAACGCUGGCGGCAUGCCUAACACAUGCAAGUCGAACGAGACCUUCGGGUCUAGUGGCGCACGGGUGCGUAACGCGUGGGAACCUGCCUUUAGGUUCGGAAUAACUCAGAGAAAUUUGAGCUAAUACCGGAUAAUGUCUUCGGACCAAAGAUUUAUCGCCUUUAGAUGGGCCCGCGUUGGAUUAGCUAGUUGGUGGGGUAAAGGCCUACCAAGGCGACGAUCCAUAGCUGGUCUGAGAGGAUGAUCAGCCACACUGGGACUGAGACACGGCCCAGACUCCUACGGGAGGCAGCAGUGGGGGAAUAUUGGACAAUGGGCGAAAGCCUGAUCCAGCAAUGCCGCGUGAGUGAUGAAGGCCUUAGGGUUGUAAAGCUCUUUUGUCCGGGAAGAUAAUGACUGUACCGGAAGAAUAAGCCCCGGCUAACUUCGUG
rnacentral:rRNA from 1 species